rnacentral:lncRNA from 1 species
CCAAAUUCUCAACUAAAUCAAGAAUUUCACACGAUUAACUAUUGUCACACAACAGGAGAUUAUAACCCCAAAACAUGAAAAUCCUCAAUAAAAAGAUACGGAUUUAAAUCGACAACCUUACCACACUUGGCCCACAGUGAUACAGAAAAGAACGUUGAUACGAAAAACUCAAAAGCAGAGAAGAAGGAAACCAAAAGGAAAGAAAACGGCAAAAGGAACACUUGUGACAAAAAUUGAAAAAAAAACCAAGCAA